rnacentral:rRNA from 1 species
AGUGAACGCUGGCGGUAGGCCUAACACAUGCAAGUAGAACGGCAGCACAGUAAGAGCUUGCUCUUACGGGUUGCGAGUGGCGGACGGGUGAGGAAUACAUCGGAAUCUACUUUUUCGGGGGGGAUAAGGUAGGGAAAGUUACGCUAAUACCCCAUACGACGUAGGGUUGAAACCGGGGGAUAUUGGCACUUUCCGCACUUCAAUAAGCCGAUGCGGUGUUAGAUCGUGGGGGGGGAAAAGGCCCACAAAGGCGAGGCUCCGUAGCUGGUCUGAGAGGAUGAUCAGCCACACUGGAACUGAGACACGGUCCAGACUCCUACGGGAGGCAGCAGUGGGGAAUAUUGGACAAUGGGCGCAAGCCUGAUCCAGCCAUACCGCGUGGGUGAAGAAGGCCUUCGGGUUGUAAAGCCCUUUUGUUGGGAAAGAAAAGCAGCAGGUUAAUACCCCGCUGUUCUGACGGUACCCAAAGAAUAAGCACCGGCUAACUUCGUG